rnacentral:rRNA from 1 species
UACGUAGGGCGCAAGCGUUGUCCGGAAUUAUUGGGCGUAAAGAGCUCGUAGGCGGUUUGUCGCGUCUGUCGUGAAAGCCCACGGCUUAACCGUGGGUCUGCGGUGGAUACGGGCAGACUAGAGGCAGGUAGGGGAGAAUGGAAUUCCCGGUGUAGCGGUGAAAUGCGCAGAUAUCGGGAGGAACACCGGUGACGAAGGCGGUUCUCUGGGCCUGUACUGACGCUGAGGAGCGAAAGCGUGGGGAGCGAACAGG